rnacentral:rRNA from 1 species
UACGUAGGGUGCAAGCGUUGUCCGGAAUUAUUGGGCGUAAAGAGCGUGUAGGCGGCCAGACAGGUCCGUUGUGAAAACUCGAGGCUCAACCUCGAGACGCCGAUGGAAACCGUCUGGCUAGAGUCCGGAAGAGGAGAGUGGAAUUCCUGGUGUAGCGGUGAAAUGCGCAGAUAUCAGGAGGAACACCGGUGGCGAAGGCGGUUCUCUGGGCAUGUCCUGACGCUGAGGAGCGAAAGUGUGGGGAGCGAACAGG